CUGNAGUCUGUGAUUGGCUAGUCUUUGUUGAACAGUCGGGUUGAAAAUUUCUGUUGUCCUCUAGCCUGCUAAUAAUCUUUUUGGCUGGUAUGUCUAAACUGUAGGAUACACCUGAGCUGUUUAUUGAAACACUCUCUCUCAACGAAGAUCCAUAAAAUGAACACAUGGACAUCUGUUUAUAACUAAUCUUUGUAGGAGUGUGCUAAUGAUACUGUUGGCUAGAAGUUUCGACCUCAUCAUUCUAGGAUCUAAGUUUGAAACUUCUGCUAAAAGAUAUCUGCCAAUUGGACGACACUAUAUAAAUUCCAUUAAUAGUCAUUGAGAUGGUUUAGGAACUUCAAAUGUCAACAAAAUAUAUCUGCAUGUACUGGCCUUCAUAUUUUUCAUUGCACGAUGGAAUUUCUAUCCUGGGUUUGAAAUUUUUUGCAGCUAUAAUGACCUGGAUGCUCCAGAAGAUGAAGUAACGGUGAUAGACUAUAGGAGUCUAUAAGUUUAUAUGAUGGACAAGCAAUAAGAGUGCGUUGCUUGCGUUCCACUUGAAGAUUUAGAACUGAAAAGUGCACAUGCUUUAUGAUCUGUGAAGAUGAGGUGAUGCACUCUACCCGUGCAUGUGCUACUCGCAUUGGCUUUUCUCUUGCUGUUAACAUACAGUCAGAUAUGCGCAGAAUCGAAGUGUGCAUCUAUUAUGAGUUUUUGAGAAAUUUUUUCCUCCCAACCCCAGAAAUGUUUUCUAGGUAUUCAAAGGGGAUGAGUGCCAAAUAAUUUUAUUUUCAGAUAUUUUAUUUAAAAUUUUUGUUUGUUUUUCUUUGAUCACAUAGAGGUUAAAGAAGUUGAUGUAGUUGGUAGGAGUUGAUAUUUUAACUGGAAUCGAACCAAAAUCUCUUUCAAUUUUGGUCCGAUUCUAGAAAAAUUAGGAACCGGAGCCAAGAAUUGGCCGAGUAUUCAUUUGAUUCUUGGUUCUUGAACGGAACUGUGGAUACUCGAUUCUGGAAUCGAAUUUGUCUUUGUUUAUAACUUUUUUAUUUUUAAAAAUUUAUUCACCAUGGCUCGGGCGCUCAGCGAUCGGAUGGAGUGCCAAUGAAACGAUGGGAUGGAGGGAGAAGUUGCCCCAUUGAUUGUUAUGCUAUAUUUGGAGGAUUUAUUUAGUUGUUUUCAUUAUUUAUAGAAUCUAAAACUUGUUGGUUUUUAGUUUUGGUUUGUUCUUAUCGUAUGUAAUUUGGUAAUUAUGCUUUGUUAGAUGUUAAAUGCUACUCCCUUCAUCCCAUAAAAGUAGUCCUAUUUCAUUUUUCACAUGGAUUAAGAAAAUUUAGUCAAUAUCGCUGAAACAAUAAAUUUU
rnacentral:lncRNA from 1 species